rnacentral:rRNA from 1 species
UACGUAGGGGGCAAGCGUUGUCCGGAUUUAUUGGGCGUAAAGCGCUCGCAGGUGGUUCAUUGCGUCGUGCGUGAAAGACCCCGGCUCAACUGGGGAGGGCCGUGCGAAACGGGUGAACUAGAGGCCAGUAGGGGGAUGCGGAAUUCCGGGUGUAGUGGUGGAAUGCGUAGAGAUCCGGAGGAACACCAGCGGCGAAGGCGGCAUCCUGGACUGGUCCUGACACUCAGGAGCGAAAGCGUGGGGAGCGAUCCGG